GGCAGUUCUCGGGUGAUGCACCCCGGAAUAGGGCUCCCUCCUCCUCUCUGGUACUGGGGUGCGUCACCCAAGAACUGUC
rfam:Myotis brandtii contig169365, whole genome shotgun sequence.